GAGUUUGAUCAUGGCUCAGGAUGAACGCUAGCGGCAGGCCUAACACAUGCAAGUCGAGGGGUAACAUGAAGUGCUUGCGCUUUGAUGACGACCGGCGCACGGGUGCGUAACGCGUAUACAAUCUACCUUAUACUGGGGUAUAGCCUUUAGAAAUGAAGAUUAACACCCCAUAGUAUAUAAACUUGGCAUCAAGUUUAUAUUAAAGGUUACGGUGUAAGAUGAGUAUGCGUUCUAUUAGCUAGAUGGUGUGGUAACGGCACACCAUGGCAACGAUAGAUAGGGGCCCUGAGAGGGGGAUCCCCCACACUGGUACUGAGACACGGACCAGACUCCUACGGGAGGCAGCAGUGAGGAAUAUUGGACAAUGGAGGCAACUCUGAUCCAGCCAUGGCCGCGUGCAGGAAGACUGCCCUAUGGGUUGUAAACUGCUUUUAUACAGGAAGAAACACUGCUACGUGUAGCAGCUUGACGGUACUGUAAGAAUAAGGAUCGGCUAACUCCGUGCCAGCAGCCGCGGUAAUACGGAGGAUCCAAGCGUUAUCCGGAAUCAUUGGGUUUAAAGGGUCCGUAGGUGGAUGAUUAAGUCAGAGGUGAAAUCUUGCAGCUCAACUGUAAAAUUGCCUUUGAUACUGGUUAUCUUGAGUUAUUAUGAAGUAGUUAGAAUAUGUAGUGUAGCGGUGAAAUGCAUAGAUAUUACAUAGAAUACCAAAAGCGAAGGCAAUCUUCUGGAACACUACUGACGCUGAGGCGCGAAGGCGUGGGGAGCAAACAGGAUUAGAUACCCUGGUAGUCCACGCAGUAAACGAUGAAUGUUAGUCGUCGGGGGCCUAGUGUCUUCGGUGAUGCAGCUAACGCAUU
rnacentral:rRNA from 1 species